CUGUCCCCGCCCCGCUUUCCCAGCAGGACGCAGCCGCCUGGCGUGCGGAGAGCGGCCUGUCGCGCGCUGGGCGCAGGGACUCAGGGUCCCAGCAGUGGGUCGCGCACCUGAGCUAUCUCCAUCCUCGGAGACCGACGAGCUCUCAGUGUCCUCGUCCUCGGAGCUGCUCCCCUCAUUUUCGGCGUAGUCCACCUCCAUCUCAUCAUGAUGGUUGGUCUCCUUCUUAUCCCCUCGGGAAUGGACUGGCAUUUUCCAGCCGCGCCGUCGCUUUCCACUACCGGCGCCCAGCCCGGCCACCGCCGCUUCAAUGAAGGGCGCGCGGAACGCCCCAACCCACCCAGCCGCCGAGCUUGCUCGCCCCCUUGGCUCCUCCCCGCCCCCGGCCCGGGCCUCACAACCUAACCCGCAGGCUCUGCGAUGGGAGCUCUGCCAUUGGCGGAGGCCUUCCACCGAGCCAGAGGGCGGGGCUUGCCCUGCUCUGGUACGAUUGGUUGCCCGCAAUUACGACGCGGCCUUCCGAUGCUUGCCGGGAGUUGUAGUUCGUAGGUCUCAGACCUGCAGGGGCUGCACGCUUCCAUCCCUCCGCAGCCCUGAUCACUUCUUCCUUCUGGACUUCAAGUCCCACAAGGCACGAAAGCUGACACUCUGGAUCGCAGUUUAUAAACUAAACAGAAACAGAUUGUGCGAAUUUAGUCUGUAUUUAUCUAUUUCCCGCCAAGUGAUUGUUUGACCUGCCUGACCAUCAGAGAUGUUACUGUUAGAUGUGAAAAUGUCUUUUGCCUAAAAGGAUCUUUGCCUGCUCAUUGAGCCUGGGGAACUGGAGAACCAUCUCUUUUACUAAGCACCUUUAUUACCUGCCAUUAAUAAACUGUUUUAUUUAAUUAUUAACUAUAGACGAUAACUUGCACUUUCUAUGUUGUGCAAAAAUCUUUAAAUUAUUCUUGAAACUUUUACAAUACAGAAGGUAAGGAAGUUUUAUCUUGGCAUUUUCAAUCUAAUAUUUUUGGCAUUUAUUUUUUACCAAAUGCAGUCGGAAAAUGCCAUCAGUCCUGAUUUAACUUUAGUUUUCAAUGAAAAAUACAUACUUAAUGAGAUGUACUUUCUCAAAAAAAGGGUACAUAGAACAUCUGGUGGAACCCCAUGAUGGCGGUCUUCAUCCACCUUAAGCUGGCCCACAACCAUGCUGAUGAUGCAGCUAUGCGGCGUGAGCUGAUGGUCCUGCGCGGUGAUGCUGUGCUGGAUUUUCUGGAACCGAAGGCUAGACAACUUCUCCACAAUGGCAGCUUUCCCCUGGAACUGUUGUCCUUCCCACGUAAGGCAUGAUGCGUCAAUAUAAAUUGCGCCUAGUUGGGGUCUAUCGUUAUCAAAUAACUGGUAGUAAUGUGGAAUGAAGCUGGAUCCUAUCUGCUCCCAAAUUGGCUUGUCUCCCACUCUGGACCGUCAGCCGGCCUCGCGGAGACCCGAGGGGCUGGCACGAUGGCUGCAGCGGCGGCGGCAACCCAGCACGGUCUCAAAAUGCUCAUAUUUUUAAGUGGUCUCAUGCAUUACAUAUGCUACAACUUGACUUUCUCCUUAGUGACGUUUUUGAGAUUUACCCAUUGUGAUUCAGGUAGCUCUCAUCCAGUUAUUUUUACCUGCCACAACAUGUUCCAUUUAGUAAAUAUAUUCUAUUGAAUGAAUAUUACAGUUUACCCAUUUACCUAUUAAUGGACAGGGAGGCUGCUCCCAAUUUUUUCACUAUUAAAAACAUUUGUCUCAGACCCAGCACAGUGGCUUACGCCUGUAGUGCCAGCACUUUGACAGGCUGAGGCAGGCGGAUCGCUUGAGAUUGGGAGUUGGAGACCAGCCUGGGCAACAUGGCGAAACCCCGUCUCAACAAAAAAUACAAAAAUUAGCUGGGCGUGGUGGUGCGUGCCUGUAGUCCCAACUACUUGGGAGGUUGAGGUAGGAGGAUGGCUUGAGCCUGGGAGGUCCAGGCUUCAGUGAGCUGUGAUUGUGCCACUUCACUCCAGCCUGGGUGACAGACAGAGUAAGCCCCUGUCUUA
rnacentral:antisense_RNA from 1 species